rnacentral:tRNA from 1 species
UCCCUAGUGGCUCAGACGGUAAAGUGUCUGUCUGCAAUGCAGGAGAUCCGGGUUCGAUCCCUGGGUUGGGAA